rnacentral:rRNA from 1 species
AGCAGCCGCGGUAAUUCCAGCUCCAAUAGCGUAUAUUAAAGUUGUUGCAGUUAAAAGCUCGUAGUUGAAUUUCGGGGUCAGCAAGUUGGUCGUGCCACUGGUAUGCACUGGCUUUACUGAUUCCUCCUUCUUGAAGAACUGUAAUGCUAUUAAUUUAGUGUUGCAGGGAAACAGGACUGUUACUUUGAAAAAUUAGAGUGUUUAAAGCAGGCUAACGCUUGAAUACAUUAGCAUGGAAUAAUGAAAUAGGACGUUUGAUCCUAUUUUGUUGGUUUCUAGGAUUGACGUAAUGAUUAAUAGGGAUAGUUGGGGGCAUUAGUAUUCAAUUGUCAGAGGUGAAAUUCUUGGAUUUAUUGAAGACUAACUACUGCGAAAGCAUUUGCCAAGGAUGUUUUCAUUAAUCAAGAACGAAAGUUAGGGGAUCGAAGACGAUCAGAUACCGUCGUAGUCUUAACCAUAAACUAUGCCGACUAGGGAUCGGAUGAUGUUAAUUUUUAAUGA